GGAAGCAAUGCUGGUGGGGUCUUGGUCUUCAAAGAACUAGUGGGAGUCACUGGAGGCCCUAGAAAGAUCUGCUAGGCCCUGGGCAUGCACAAGGAAGAUAUACUUUCUGCCCUUGAGAAGCUUCUGAUUCCUCGGGGAGAAUAAACAAAUGGGGGAACUGAGGAUUCAAGACAUUCCGUGCAACUUGCCCAAGACCACAGACCUG